rnacentral:lncRNA from 1 species
GGCUACUGCACUCAGAUCCAGUAUCUGAAAAGCACAAGAGCAUCUACUGCCAGGAUGGUGUUCACAGACUGAGCCUCUAGAAUUUCCCAGCAUCAGGCAGCUGCUUGCACUCCAGCCAGUGCCUGUGGACAGAGUAUCUGGACUUGCUCUGAUAUCGGGGGAGAAACUGCACCUGGUGAAGUGAACUUUUUUGGUGUGUAACACCUCCAGCUUCAUGCAGACCAGGGAUUGAAGAUACAAGCAAGGUCAUGGAUGGCCAGAGGAACCAGGGAGAAUAACAGGGAAACAAGGCCAGGAAUACUCUCUUCACAGUGUCAAUUAUCCAUCAUGCUAAUCCGCUACCUGCCUGGUGUUUCCCUGCUCUACGUGGAAGUAUCUUUGAUCUGAAAUGCCCAUGCCUUUCUCCAAGUGCUUUCUUCCUCCUCCACACUGAACGUUAGCCACUCUCCAUCGCUUUUCUGUGUUGACCUAAUGUGUCUACAAUCUUCUUACCUUCUUCAUUUGCUGGCCCUCAAAUAAUCAAGAGACAUUGUAAAAGCUUCAAAUAAUCUUGAGAAGGACAGAUGCUUUAAUCCUUAUCCUAGUAUUGCAUGUGCCGAGAGGAAACAGGAAAAUGCUUAAAAUGGUUCCAGCUAAUUUCAAAGAGAAAGGCAUAAACUGCUGCCUGAAGCAGAAGCCUGGAGAAGACUGCCUAUGUCAUCACAAGCAGCUGUUCUCAUCCAAAACAGUAGAAUGAGGAAGAGCUCGGAUUCCAGCUGGGGAACGGAAGUGGAAAGAUUAAAUACACAAUUUUGAUUAAAAUCUCUCUUCUGUAACUUUCCCACAUAUUUCUCUGUAAACAUUUUCCUUUUUUAGUCUCCAGUAAGAGUCAGUGUGGUUCAGUGAGGCAACACAUGCAUAGAUACACAAAUAAUAACUAGCACAUGGGGUUUAGCCUCAUGCAAGUUUUUUUAUGACUUUGGGGAAGUAUCUUCUUGCUAUUACAUUGUGUUCAUCUGAAAACUAUCAUAAAGCAAAUUCUGGGUAGAUUUUGGAAUUUCUUUAUGAAGGAGAAAUCAUGUUUUCUGUUAACCUGAUCAUACACAAUGUGUUACUUAACUUAAUAAAGAAUAUUACUAUAAUUAUUUUAUCUUUAAA